rnacentral:rRNA from 1 species
UAACGAAUCUUCCGCAAUGCACGAAAGUGUGACGGAGCAAUGCCGCGUGUGGGAUGAAGCGGUUACGCCGUGUAAACCACUGUCAGGACCUAGGAAGAUCUGACCGGGUCCAGAGGAAGGGCCGGCUAAUCUCGUGCCAGCAGCCGCGGUAAUACGAGAGGCCCGAGCGUUAUUCGGAAUCACUGGGCUUAAAGGGUGCGCAGGCGGACCGGCAAGCAUGUAGUGAAAUACCACGGCUCAACCGUGGAAUAGCUAUGUGAACUGCUGGUCUUGAGGCGGGUAGAGGUUGUCGGAACGUACGGUGGAGCGGUGAAAUGCGUAGAGAUCGUACGGAACGCCGAAGGUGAAGACAGGCAACUGGGCCCGACCUGACGCUCAUGCACGAAAGCGUGGGGAGCAAACAGGAUUAGAUACCCCCGUAGUCC